CUGAUUACUCCUAAUGUGCUGCAGGUGUGUGAGGGCAAAUGCUCCAGCCAGCAGGAAACCAUGAUUACACUCAGUUCAGUUUGUGCAGAAGAGUCAAAUGGCACCAAAACCAAGAAGGUUCACUCACUGCCCCUGUAGUCUCUGCUUCUUCUCUCUUCGCCUCUUAGAAUAUGAAAACAUGAGGCGGGAGAGAGAUGUCUCUUCCUUAUUUCACUAGCUGUCCCCCUGACAGUGGCCAGUCCUCUAGCCCAUCAUGUCACAUGCUUCGGUGGGGUGAGGUCAGCUGCCUGUCUGUCCAUCUGUCUGACAUGACGGGGAACGUGCUGCAUUUCUGCAUCGUCAGGGACUCCUACAGAGGCUUCAGCUGGAAGGAAUCCAACCAGAAUGCCGAUAUCAUGCUUGUCUCUGUGAUUCACUCAACCUUUCCCUGACUGUGUGAAUGUAGAGCUAAACGUAUGGGCUGAUGUGAGAGCGAAAUAAAGACUUGUUGCAGGUAGCUAACACUUCACCUCUGA